AGUCAACAUGCCCAGGGGACGUGGAUAACCUCGGGAAACUGAGGAUAAACCGCGAUAGGUCAUAGUAUCUGGAAUGAUUUAUGGCUUAAAUCUAUAUGGCCCCUGGAUUGGACUGCGGCCGAUCAGGCUGUUGGUGAGGUAAUGGCCCACCAAACCUAAAACCGGUACGGGCUCUGAGAGGAGAAGCCCGGAGAUGGGCACUGAGACAAGGGCCCAGGCCCUAUGGGGCGCAGCAGGCGCGAAAACUCUGCAAUAAGCGAAAGCUUGACAGGGUUAUUCUGAGUGAUUUCCGCUAAGGAAAUCUUUUGGCACCUCUAAAAAUGGUGCAGAAUAAGGGGUGGGCAAGCCUGGUGUCAGCCGCCGCGGUAAUACCAGCACCCCGAGUGGUCGGGACGAUUAUUGGGCCUAAAGCAUCCGUAGCCGGUUCUACAAGUCUUCCGUUAAAUCCACCUGCUCAACAGUUGGGCUGCGGAGGAUACUAUAGAGCUAGGAGGCGGGAGAGACAAGCGGUACUCAGUGGGUAGUGGUAAAAUCCGUUGAUCCAUUGAAGACCACCAGUGGCGAAGGCGGCUUGCCAGAACGCACUCGACGGUGAGGGAUGAAAGCUGGGGGAGCAAACCGGAUUAGAUACCCGGGUAGUCCCAGCUGUAAACGAUGCAGACUCGGUGAUGAAUAGGCUUCGUGCCUAUUCAGUGCCGCAGGGAAGCCGUUAAGUCUGCCGCCUGGGGAGUACGGUCGCAAGACUGAAACUUAA
rnacentral:rRNA from 1 species